rnacentral:misc_RNA from 1 species
GAUGAAGAACGCAGCGAAAUGGGAUAAGUAAUGUGAAUUGCAGAAUUCAGUGAAUCAUCGAAUCUUUGAACGCACAUUGCGCCCCCUGGUAUUCCGGGGGGCAUGCCUGUCCGAGCGUCAUUACAACCCUCAAGCUCAGCUUGGUGUUGGGCCCCGCCGCCCCGGCGGGCCCUAAAGUCAGUGGCGGUGCCGUCCGGCUCCGAGCGUAGUAAUUCUUCUCGCUCUGGAGGUCCGGUCGUGUGCUCGCCAGCAACCCCCAAUUUUUUUCAGGUUGACCUCGGAUCAGGUAGGGAUACCCGCUGAACUUAAGCAUAUCAAUAAGCGGAGGA